rnacentral:rRNA from 1 species
AACGUAGGAGACAAACGUUAUCCGGAGUUACUGGGCGUAAAGGGCGUGUAGGCGGUAUGUUAAGUCUGGCGUGAAAGCUCUCGGCUAAACCGGGAGAGGUCGUUGGAUACUGGCAAACUAGAGGAUGGUAGAGGCGUGUGGAAUUCCGGGUGUAGUGGUGAAAUGCGCAGAUAUCAGGAGGAACACCGGUGGCGAAGGCGGUGAUCUGGGCCGGCACUGACGCUGAGGAGCGAAAGCGUGGGUAGCAAACAGG